CCUACGAGUGGCAGCAGUGGGGAAUCUUGCGCAAUGGGCGGAAGCCUGACGCAGCGACGCCGCGUGAGGGACGAAGGCGUUCGGGUCGUAAACCGCUUUCAGCAGGGACGGAGCCCUCACGGUGCCGGUACCUGCAGAAGAAGCCCCGACUAACUACGAGCCAGCCGCCGCGGUAAUACGUGGGGGGCGAGCGGUAUCCUGCUUCAGUGGGCGUAAAGGGCGCUUAGGCGGCCUGUUAGGACGGUGGUAAAAUACCGGGGCUCAACCCCGGUCUGCCCACGAUACCGGCAGGCUGGAGUCUGGUAGGGGAAGGCGGAAUUCCCAGUGGAGCGGUGGAAUGCGUAGAUAUUGGGAAGAACACCGGAGGCGAAGGCGGCCUUCUGGGCCACGACUGACGCUGAGGCGCGAAAGCUAGGGGAGCGAACAGGAUUAGAUACCCUUGUAGUC
rnacentral:rRNA from 1 species